rnacentral:rRNA from 1 species
GACGAACCGUGCAAACGUUGUUCGGAAUCACUGGGCUUAAAGGGCGCGUAGGCGGUCUGCCAAGUCCGGGGUGAAAUACUUCAGCUUAACUGGAGAAGUGCCUUGGAUACUGGCAGGCUCGAGGGAGGUAGGGGCAGGUGGAACUUCCGGUGGAGCGGUGAAAUGCGUUGAUAUCGGAAGGAACGCCGGUGGCGAAAGCGACCUGCUGGACCUCUUCUGACGCUGAGGCGCGAAAGCUAGGGGAGCAAACGGG